AGCAAACAGGAUUAGAUACCCUGGUAGUCCACGCUGUAAACGAUGAGUACUAGGUGUCGGGGGUUACCCCCUUCGGUGCCGCAGCUAACGCAUUAAGUACUCCGCCUGGGAAGUACGCUCGCAAGAGUGAAACUCAAAGGAAUUGACGGGGACCCGCCCAAGUAGCGGAGCAUGUGGUUUAAUUCGAAGCAACGCGAAGAACCUUACCUAAGCUUGACAUCCCAAUGACAUCUCCUUAAUCGGAGAGUUCCCUUCGGGGACAUUGGUGACAGGUGGUGCAUGGUUGUCGUCAGCUCGUGUCGUGAGAUGUUGGGUUAAGUCCCGCAACGAGCGCAACCCUUGUCUUUAGUUGCCAUCAUUAAGUUGGGCACUCUAGAGAGACUGCCAGGGAUAA
rnacentral:rRNA from 1 species